ACGGAAGGCAGCAGUGAGGAAUAUUGGUCAAUGGACGCAAGUCUGAACCAGCCAUGCCGCGUGCAGGAAUAAGGCCCUAUGGGUCGUAAACUGCUUUUGUGGUGGAGCAAUAAGUCGUACGUGUACGGCGAUGAGAGUACAUCACGAAUAAGCAUCGGCUAACUCCGUGCCAGCAGCCGCGGUAAUACGGAGGAUGCAAGCGUUAUCCGGAUUUAUUGGGUUUAAAGGGUGCGUAGGCUGUGGUCCAAGUCAGGGGUGAAAGCCCGGAGCUCAACUCCGGAACCGCCUUUGAUACUGGAUUGCUGGAAUACGGAUGCCGUGGGAGGAAUGAGUAGUGUAGCGGUGAAAUGCAUAGAUAUUACUCAGAACACCGAUUGCGAAGGCAUCUCACGAAUCCGUCAUUGACGCUGAGGCACGAAAGCGUGGGGAUCAAACAGGAUUAGAUACCCUGGUA
rnacentral:rRNA from 1 species